GUCUCCAUGGCCCAGCUGGUUAAGGCGUCCGACUGUUAAGCAGUGGCUUGUGCAAUCGGGAGAUCGGCAGUUCGAGCCUGCCUGGGGACG
rfam:Aspergillus fumigatus Af293 chromosome 5, whole genome shotgun sequence.